rnacentral:tRNA from 1 species
UUAUGUGUAGGUUAAAAUAUAUAAACUGAGGGCUUGUGAUGCCUACGAUCUUCUAUAAGCGCAUAAU